UACGUAGGGUGCAAGCGUUAAUCGGAAUUACUGGGCGUAAAGCGUGCGCAGGCGGUUUUGUAAGUCUGUCGUGAAAUCCCCGGGCUUAACCUGGGAAUGGCGAUGGAGACUGCAAGGCUGGAAUCUGGCAGAGGGGGUAGAAUUCCACGUGUAGCAGUGAAAUGCGUAGAUAUGACGGAGGAACACCGAUGGCGAAGGCAGCCUCCUGGGCACUAGA
rnacentral:rRNA from 1 species